rnacentral:misc_RNA from 1 species
UGAGAGAGAAUGGGAAUCACAGCU